rnacentral:tRNA from 1 species
GCAGGCGUAGCCAAGCGGUAAGGCAAGAGAUCAUGUGAAGAACAUGACUUGAGGCUGCAACCCUCUCAUGCGCAAGUUCAAAUCUUGCCGCCUGCU